rfam:Serpula lacrymans var. lacrymans S7.3 unplaced genomic scaffold SERLA73scaffold_4, whole genome shotgun sequence.
GGCUACCUAGCGCAAUGGUAGCGCGUUUGGCUUCGAUGCCUCACGGAUACCAAAAGGUUGCAGGUUCGAGUCCUGCGGUGGUCA